CAUGCAAGUCGCACGAGAAAGUUUCCUUCGGGAGAUGAGUAAAGUGGCGCACGGGUGAGUAACACGUAACUAACCUGCCCAAUAGACCGGGACAACCGAGGGAAACUUCGGCUAAUUCCGGAUGAGCUCAUAUUGCCACUAAGGUGAAAUGAGGAAAGCGGACCUCUGAUCUAAGUUCGUGCUGUUGGAGGGGGUUGCGUCCCAUCAGUUAGUUGGUAGGGUAACGGCCUACCAAGGCAUAGACGGGUAGCUGGUCUGAGAGGACGAUCAGCCACACUGGGACUGAGACACGGCCCAGACUCCUACGGGAGGCAGCAGUGGGGAAUAUUGGACAAUGGGGGAAACCCUGAUCCAGCAAUACCGCGUGAAGGAAGAAGGCUCUUGGGUUGUAAACUUCUGUCGUAGAGGAAAAAGUUUGGUAGGUUAAUAGCUUAUUGAAUUGAUGGUACUCUAAAAGGAAGCACCGGCUAACUCCGUGCCAGCAGCCGCGGUAAUACGGAGGGUGCAAGCGUUGUUCGGAAUUACUGGGCGUAAAGCGCGUCUAGGCGGAUUAUCAAGUCAUGUGUGAAAGACUUCGGCUCAACCGGAGAAAUGCGCCUGAAACUGGUAGUCUUGAGUUAUGGAGAGGUGAGCGGAAUUCCUAGUGUAGCAGUGAAAUGCGUAGAUAUUAGGAGGAACAUCCGUGGCGAAGGCGGCUCACUGGCCAUAUACUGACGCUGAAGCGCGAAAGCGUGGGUAGCAAACAGGAUUAGAUACCCUGGUAGUCCACGCCGUAAACGAUGAGAACUAGGUGUUGGGGGAUUUGACCCCUUCAGUGCCGACGCUAACGCAUUAAGUUCUCCGCCUGGGGAGUAC
rnacentral:rRNA from 1 species